rnacentral:rRNA from 1 species
AGUGAACGCUGGCGGUAGGCCUAACACAUGCAAGUCGAACGGCAGCACCGUAAGAGCUUGCUCUUACGGGUGGCGAGUGGCGGACGGGUGAGGAAUACAUCGGACUCUACUUUUUCGUGGGGGUUAACGUAGGGAAACUUACGCUAAUACCGCAUACGCCCUACGGGUGAAAGCAGGGGAUCUUCGGACCUUGCGCGAUUGAAUGCGCCGAUGCCGGAUUAGCUAGUUGGCGGGGUAAAGGCCCACCAAGGGGACGAUCCGUAGCUGGUCUGAGAGGAUGAUCAGCGACAUUGGAAGUGAAACACGGACAAGAGGCCUGAAGGAGGCAGCAGAGGGGAAUGGGGGACAAUGGGCGGAAGCCUUGCACAGUCAUACCGCGUGGGUGAAGAAGGCCUCCGGGUUGGAAAGCCCUUUUUUGGGGAAAGAAAAGCAGCAGGUUAAGACCACGCUGUUGUGACGGUACCCAAAGAAGAAGCACCGGCUAACUUCGUG